CAGGCCAGGGAAGGCUGGGCAGAGGAGGUGGGAGAGCGGGUCAAGGAGGGAUCUGAAGACCCCUUCAGGCAUGAGGACCACAGGCAAACAGGCUUCCUGGGAACUCUCAUCCGGGAUGGGACUGUCACCAAACUGUCCCAGAUCCCUCUGCACUCUUGCUCUCCAAGCGGUGCACUCUGGAGGCAUGCGGGUGGCCUAGAGGGUCCUUUGACCCCAUGAAAAGUUGGUGGAGCUCUGUGAUGGCCACAGAGGUUCCCCAUCAAAGAAGGACUAUUGGCCAGCUGUCAGCUCACUUCCGAGAAGCCUGGCUGGUGGGCACACGCUUCCUGAGAAGGCCACACCCCGUGCUGCUGGAGAUGUGAAGCCCAGCCCCUCAGCCACUCUGCGGUCAACUCCAGGGCCCUCCGCAACCCCCACACACUGUGGAGCUGCCAGAGGCCACACCUUUGUCCAGCUGGAAUCAGAAUUCAGCUUUUCCCUCUGCCCGGUCCUGCAGCUGCCCCUUCUCUCCCACAGCCCAAGUCCAACGAUACUGCUUCUGCGAAGCCCUCCUGUCACUCUCCUCUGACUGCACAUGGCAUCCUGUGGUGUUUCGUGUCAUUUCUAAUGAUUUGUGCUGCCUUGUACUGUACUUAUCCUUCAUUAUUGGAUGGAGGACCAAGCCUGGAUCCAAUCCAAGUUUGUGCCCCCCCCCCCCCCAUCACCUUCCUUGGAAUGUUGAGGCCGGUGGACUUAAUGGAAUGGAUGGGGAGACCUGGGAUAGGAGGGCCUGGGGGUUCCUGGAGUUGGGGCCAUGUGGGUUUUUGGUGGAGUGGUAUAGUAGAUGCUGUCAGUGCCUUGGGACACCCAGGAUGUCAACUGUGCUUUGGUGGACAGUUCCUUGACCUCCCAGCUCAAGUCCUUGCAUCUCUGCCUGAGGAACUUCUCUGGCCCCAGGUGUGUGCAGGGUCCAGGGCUGGGGCAGAAUGCUGGAGGUUAACACACUAGGAGAGGCUUUCUGUCAGCUGGGCCCGAGUGACCAGUCCCUGGCAGGCCUGUUCUGAGGACGGCUCUCCCUAGCCUCUCAGCAGGUCCCAAGCGAGAGGUGAGCUCAGCCGCCCCAACCAGCAACCCUCUGACUUCCUCUUUCUCCACUUCCCUGCCUGGGCUUCCUGAAUUGUCUCCCGGGUAACCACAUCCUCUUCUCAGCAUCUGCUUUUGGGGAUCCCAGACUGAGACAGGGGCCUGGGCCGGGGAGCCCUGCUGCCCCACAACCCUUUACCUAUGGUGGUGAUCACUGUGCCUGCGAAGAAGAAACUGCUGCCGAAGUCCCAGUUGCUGGGGUUGGUGGAGUUGCCUUUGGGGUUCACGCCUUUCACCCAGGCUUCCAUGAUGACCUGUGGGGAGAGCGUGGGUGGUCACUGUGCACCUGUGGUCUCCAGGCUCUCCGCAGGGUGCUUCCCCAUUGUCGCGUUUAAUGAUGUCCUUAGAUGGUGUUGUUCCGACUUCACAGAAAAGGGAAGGUAGGCUCAGAGUGGCUGCGAUGCCCACGGUCGCUGGACCCCAAGUCCGUGUGCUUAAGGACGGGUUCAGGUGGGUGUUUCUGGAAGGAUUUGCUGGGGACCACAAGAAAGCCCUAGGGCUUUGGGGCGGGGUGGGACAGAGACCUCUGCUCUCUGAGCUUCCAGGGGAGCUGGUGGCUUUGCUCUGGCGGCCCUCUGGUGACGCAGAGAUUCCACCAGAGGCCUGCAGGAAGGUGCUGUGUGGUGCGUCGUCUGCGUAAGUACUGCAUGUUGCACGUGUGUCCAGGUUGUGUGUGUGUGUGUGUGUGGUUUCUAGAACCAAAACUAGACCCAGCUCCAGCUAAGCUCCUCCACCCCUGGCCAGUCCUCUUGGAGAAAGGGGAGAGCGCCCUCCUCCCCUGCCCCCAGCCCCUGUGAAUCGUCCCAGGGCAGCUCAGCCUUGACGCCAGGUAGAGUCCCCGGGUCAGGGUGGGGCCACUGUGGAGGAGCGUGGGAGCUCUGGCCUCUCGUUCCUGUGGGAACCACUUCCCACUGGCUGGGUGGACAUGCUUGGGCCAGGGUGGGGUGUCCCUGGUGGGCUGGGCCAGUGUGGACGUCCUCAGCAGCAGGCGGUCUGCUUCUUCUCAUUUUGGCAGGAGCUGGCCACUGAAGAUGUGGACUUUGGCUUCCCUCUCUUUCCCACAUGCCCAGAGAGGCCAGGGCCAGACAUUCCUGGACACAGCCCCUCCCCAGAGACCCGAACCCCUGCAGGCAGCACUUGCCCUAGUCCUGGGUCGUCCCCUCUGCAACCCAGGGCCCUCUACACCCCCGAGGAGGGCCCUGACCUCCCUGAGGGUACUGAGUAGUGUGGGUGGGAGGCAUUUUCUUCUCUAAGAAUCCACAGGUGAUGGAGAGAGAGGCAGAUUCACUAAUUCUGGGAUCAGGGAAGGCUUGUUCCUUAAUAUAUAUAUAUAUAUUUUUUAUUUUUUUUUCCUUUCUUUUCAUGGUACUAUGGAUGGAAUCCAGAGGUGCUCUUCCAUGAAGCUAUAUUCCUAGCCCUUUUUAAAAACUUUUUAUUUGGAGACUGGAUCUCACUGUUGCCCAGGCUGACCUCAAACUCUGGAUCCUCCUGCUUCAGUCUCCUGAGUAGCUGGGAUCACAGGUGUGCACCCCAUGCCUGGAGUCACUUUUUAAUACUGCAGUAAAUUCUGUCCCUGGCGUGUGGCAGAGUUCAGCAGUGACUCCUGUUCUCCCAGAAUCUUACCCCUGCAUUCUCCUUCCCUGCUCAACUUCCUCUGGCCAGCCGUCCUCAGUCCUGAGGGAGGCCUCAGCAUCACCAGAUACUGCUUAACACCACCCGCGGCCCCACCCGGAGCUCCUGCAGGUCUGGGCAGCAUUUCUCACACACUCCCAGGUGCUGCUGCUGCUGCUGGUCCAGGGACUGCACUUUGAGAACUACGGCUCUGGGCUAAAGGACAAGGGCCCCUCUCCGAGUCUGAAUGAGAGCUCUGUGUCUACCAGUAUCUGCAGCCUGGGUCAGCACGCGCCACCUCUCUGCGCCUCAGUCACCACACUAUGAGCUUGAGACAGUGAUAGUAGCAGCAAUGACAAGAGGCCAGCUCUGGGGGUGGUGGAUUGUGAUUGGACCCAGCCCUGCUCCUCCCACUCCAGACACAUUGUAAAUGCUCAAUAGAUGUCUGUGAUCAUUUGAUGACGCUGCACCUGGUCUGUUCUUUGCAGUAGGAGUGGCCACCCCCUGCACCUCCUGCUCUCAAAGCUUUCACCCACAACACCUGCUUUUGCCGUUUCUGGGAGAGGGUGGCAGAAGG